rnacentral:rRNA from 1 species
UACGGAGGGGGCUAGCGUUGUUCGGAAUCACUGGGCGUAAAGCGCACGUAGGCGGCUUUGCAAGUCAGAGGUGAAAGCCCGGGGCUCAACCCCGGAAUAGCCUUUGAGACUGCAUGGCUUGAACACGGGAGAGGUGAGUGGAAUUCCGAGUGUAGAGGUGAAAUUCGUAGAUAUUCGGAAGAACACCAGUGGCGAAGGCGGCUCACUGGACCGUUGUUGACGCUGAGGUGCGAAAGCGUGGGGAGCAAACAGG